GGCUGCUGGGAAGUUGGGUCCUGAUCUCGUUAACUUGUAACUGCCCUUGGGGAACCCGCGCCUGCCCGUCUGGAGAUGGGCUUGCUGCUUCUCGGUUGCGGAUUCGCGCCUUACUCGAGCAGCCUUUGAGGGGCUUUUGGACAAGCCGAGAGAGAACUGCUCAACUUGUUGCACAAAUCAUUCCCAAACACGAGACCAGAGCCGGAUGUGGUGAACAGAGAGGUUUAAUACACCGGUGGGCGAGAGAUCUGGAUCUCCAGGAAGUUGUCUGCCCCAGGACAGAGAAGCAGCACUGUUCACACAGAGUUUGCAUCUUGGUUCCAUAGAGAUUGCAGACACCGCACGCUGCAGGCACAUGGUCUUGGCCCUGGUACUCUUGGAUCGGGGGUCUUGUCUCCUCCGCUAGGCUGGGUUCCGCCCUGGCUGUCCCGCUUAGGAAGGUGGAGGGAGGAGGUAAGGCAGCUGCAGUCACUGAUGGCUGUGAGGCCCAGCAGGCACAGAGGAAAGACAGACUUAGGCUGUAUGUCCCUACAUCACAGAGGAAAUACAGAUCUCCAACAGACAUAUAGAUUAAAAUACCUACAUAGGGUGAAUCAGGAGAGUGUGCACUCUGUGCUCAUCUAUUUUCAAGCUCUUGUGUGUGUGUGUGGGGGGCGGCUGAACCUGGAACUUUGGAGCCUCAGGCAUGAGAGUCUGUUUGCAUGACCAAUAUGCUAUCUACCCCUCCCCUAUUUUUAAUUUCUGUUAGUGAUUUAAUAUUCAUUUACAAAACGACAGGAUAACGUACAAUUCCACACUGUCCCCACCAUCAGAGUUCCAUAUCCCCAGUCCUUCCAUUGGAAGUUACAGCAGUUAUCCUAAGGCUGCAGAUGUGGGUUAAUAUUAUUUCUACAAUCAUCUGUCUAUAUAUUUGCCCUUUUAUCCCCCAUGGUACCAUCUUCUCUUCCUUUCCAAGUCACACUAUACCCACUACUGCAUCCAAAUGUCCCUCUUUCCUUUUCUCUCUCCAGAUCCUGAUGGAGUUGGAGUUCAGAACCCUCUGGUCAUCUUCCCCUAACAUUUCUCACCCUCUGUGAGUGUGAACCAAAAAAUUUUCAAUUAAAAAUAGUUUUUUUAUUUAUAAAAAGGAAAUAUUGACAAAGCCAUAGGAUAAGAGGGAUACAACUUGGCACAAUUCCCACCACCAGACCUCUGUAUCCCAUCCCUUCCCCUGAUAGCUUUCCUAUUCUUUAACUCUCUGGGAGAGUCUGUUUUUCUUUUCUUUCUUGUGAAAAAAUAAUAUUUAUCUCCAUAUCCAAUCCCCUCCCUUGAAAGAUUUCCUAUUCUUUGUCCCUCUGGGAGUAUGGACCCAAGGACAUUAUGGGGUUCAGGAGGUGGAAGGUCUGUCUUCUGUAAUUGCUUCCUCACUGAACAUGGGCAUUGGCAGGUGGAUCCAUGCUCCCAGCCUGUCUCUCUCUUUACCUAGUGGGGUGGGGCUUUGGGGAAGCAGGGUCCCAGGACAUAUUGGUGGGGUCAUCUGUCCAGGCAAGUCAGGUUGGCAUCAUGAUAGUGUCUGGAACCUGGUGGCUGAAAAAGAAUUAAGAUAUAAGGCGGAACAAAUUGUUGACUAAUCGUGAACCUAAAGACAAGAAUAUUGCAGAUGAAGAUUUUGGGUCUCCUCUUUGGAAAAAGCUAGUAAGUCUAUUUUAGCUAUAUUCCAAGGGGCCCAUGACCUUACUAGUUUUUGUCUGAGCUUUACAUCUAACAUGCAGGUGACCUAAGUUAUUGUCUGGGGAGAUGGUGACAUAGUUGGAAAGGAAAGAACUAGAAAGCUGGAUCAGGGAAGAGAGUAGCUCCCAAGUAUGGGAAAAGUAUAUAAAUGUUGUUAACUGUAAACCCCAUAGAUUUGAUCUGAGGCCCAUAGUCAGCACAGGAACCUCUGUAACCUCUGCAUCCCUGCAGGUCUGAGCUGGCAUUCUGUGGUCAUGGCUAGCAACAUUCCAGGCUGCACUAAUUUCAGGACCCAUCAUCCUUGGGUGAAAGGUAGAGUAUGUUAUCCAAACUCCCGUUGGAGAAUGGAACAUUCCCUACCCUUGCUUAUCCACAUUGAGGGCAAGGUCCUAUGGGGCUCACAAAGGGGUCCAUUAUGUUGUUCCUGAUGGAGAUGACCAGUGACAGUGGUGAGAUAGAUCCACUAGAGGUCUAGGCCCACUGUGUGGGAACCCCUGGGCUCCCUGGCCAGGGCCCCAGGUGAUGGGAUGACCUGAUAGUGACUAAAGAGUCAUUAUUAAAGUUUUCCAGUCUUUUGCCCAUGUACAGCUUUUGUAGUCCUUAUUUUGUAUGACAAGGUUAGUUUUGGAGUGAUUAAGGGACAUGGAAUAGGAUGUAGAUGAAGAAGGUAUCUAGGUCUAAGAAACUAUUUCAUUAGGGACACUUUGAUGUCUUUUUACGUCUUUCUGCUUGCUUGCUACAUCUGUUGACUCACUGCAAACUAUUGUGCGCUUUUGCUUUAAGGUUUUCCCCUAACUUACGGAUACAUGUACAUAUGCCCUAUCUGAUGAGUCCUGGUCUAUAUCUAGGUUUUGAGGUUAAGAAGUGGACCACCUGAAAUGGAAUUAAGGAGUCCUGUGAGCUAGGAAAGUCUCACCAGAGUAAUGAAGCUGAAGAGUUGACAUUCCACACCUGACGUCUCUGGUUGCAGUCUGAAAUGAUACAUGCUGAGGUGGUACUGGUUGCAUUGAUUGGGUUGAGAUAAGCAGAUGCAGUAUCCAAGGGAUGGGAUUGUAUAUGGAGUUCUGGUGGUGGGAAUUAUACGGAAAUGUACCCCUCUUAUCCUAUGGUCUUGUCAAUACUUCCAUUUUAUAAAUAAAUAAAUAAAUAAAAUAUCUUUGGUCCAUACACCUAGAGGGAUAAAUAAUAGGAAAACUUCCAAUAGAGAGAAGGGGAUAUGGAACUCUAGUGGUGAGAAUUUGGAAUUGUAUCCCUCUUAUCUCACAAUCUUGUCAAUGAUUAUUAAAUAACUAAUUAAAAAAAAAACUUUAAAAAGGGGGUCGGGCGGUAUAAGUGCAUGAGGACUGGCGUAAGGACUGGCAUUACUGGUUCAAGCCCCCAGCUCCCCACCUGCAGGGGGGUUGCUUCACAGGCAGUGAAGCAGGUCUGCAGGUGUCUGUCUUUCUCUUCCCCUCCUCUCUCCAUUUCUCUCUGUCCUAUCCAAGGAUGCCGACAUCAAUAACAACAGUAAUAACUAGAACAAUAAAACAACAAGGGCAUUAAAAGUUUUAAAAAAAACAUAAAAAUUAAUAUUUACUUAUUUUGGACAGAGAUAGCUGAGGGGAAGGUGGACAUAGGGAGAGAAAGAGAAACACCUGCAGACCUACUUCACUACUUGUGAGGCUCUUUUUUUUCCUUUUUUUUUUGGAGGUGGGGACCAGGAACUUAAAGCCUGGUCUUUGUGCAUGGUAAUAUGUGUGCUAUCAGCCUCUUCCUCCUCCUCCUUUUUCUUUUCUUUCUUCUUCUUUUUUAAAAUUUAACCAGAACACUGCUUGGUUCCAGCUUAUGCUAAUGCCAGGGUUUGAACCUGAGUCUCAAAACCUCAGGUACUAAAGUUGUUCAUACAACCAUUAUGUUAUCCCUCUGACCCUGAGACUUAGGCUUUUUCCAAAUUGUAGCUUCACCAUUUUCUUAGGUCUCAGGAUGUCCUGUUGGUUGCUCUGCAUGGUAGAAGUAGAGGAGAGAAGACAGUGUACUAGAACACAGAAGACUGCAGCAGGUCAGGAUUGAUAGGGUGCUCAUGAUUUAGCCCCAUUUACGGACGCAUCUAACUGAAUACAGGUGGAGAAAGUAUCUCAGCCAUGGAACCAGGAGAAAAAGAAAUAGAUCUUCGUACAUACAGAUCAUUCUAACCAGGGAUAAGCAACCAGUCCUAGUGCCUUCCCCGCACCCCCAGAAGCUCUGAGCAAUGUCUCAUUUUCAAACUAGUUUGAGAACUAGAGUCUUAGUAUCAUCAUGUAAUUAGCCUCAUCUGCCUAGUUUAUUGCGUUGCCACAGUCAAGCUUUGCUUCCCUACCACCUCAGCCUCCCUACAGUGAUCACAUUAGUCACGAGGAUGCCACCUGCAUUAGUCAUGGGCCAGAGGUCCCCUGUUCAUGACUAGUGGCCUAGGAAUUAAUGCUGUGGUCCACGACUGAGAUUUAUUUAUUCUGCUGCUUGAAAUUCUUCAAACUGGGACAAAAUCCCUCUUACAUUUUCUCUUCCUAAGCUUCACUUCCUUUUGCCUUGGACAGACCUCUGAAAGGGUUUCUGGAUUUGUUCUGGUGAUAAAACAUAAUAAAAAUGAGUCAUUUUCUCCUGG